GGAACAACUCUGAAAAUAAAGGAGAUGUUUAUUUUCCUCCCUUUUUUUCAAGGUUUUCCACGGAAUCAGAUACAUUUCCAGCAAGACCUGAUAAAUCUGACAAUUGAAUACUAUAGACCUCAUAUACACAAUAGAGAAGAAAACUGACUUUAAAAGAAAACCGGUGAGAUUAAAUCAUAUGAAAUGUAUGAUGAAUCAGGAUGUGAUCAUUUGAGGCAUUCACCAAUGUCAUUACUAAUGACAAACAAGAGAAACGGAGACGGGAGAAUGGAAAGACUGAUCUUCACAGACAGCAGUCAAAACAAAGCAAAAAAAAAGCGUUCAAAACUGGAAAGAAGAAAGAAGGCUGUGGAAUAUCUUAAGUUAUCUAGACGAGUCAUUGCCCCAACAUCUAAAAAGAACUUGACGGAGUGCCUUCAAUUGGACAUAACUUCACCCGAGAAGACUGAUGACAAAAACUCAACAAAGAGGGUCAGGCUUCCAUUUCCCUGGAAAUCAACCAGACUGUGCAAGGGAAAAGAGGCACUGGACAAGGCAUAUAGACACAAGGUCCUGAAGACCGAAUCUGCAGAUGCCAGUUGGUAUUUGUAAAGGAUGGUAGAGAGGACACAACAACACCUCCUACUGAGAAGUGUCCACUUUUGGCCAUUUCCAGGGAUUACUCCUCAUAGAGGUCAAACGAGGAUUCAGCUAUCAAAAGAAUACAAGAAAAAGAACUUUUUUUAAUUCUGUGGUUGGGGAUUUCCAGAUCUAAGUAUUGAUAGUUGUUUUUUUUUUUUUAUGUACCUGUAAUCAACAGUUCAGGGUAUGUAGUUUUUGCAUUGUUGGUCUGUCUGUCUGCAAAAGUGUAAACCAUGCAGGCCUAAAGCUUUUGAGUGAUGGGGCAACUGAUUUCACAGACGUAUUUUUAGUGACCAGACUUGUUGACCUCUUUACAUGGACCUUUGAGUUUCAUCCACUUUUAACAAAAAAAUUAAACUGUAUUCUUGGCCACAACUUUCAAAUAGUUGAUGCUUAUUGCAUUCCAUUCGACAAGACUUUCAACAGGUAUAAAUAUUUUUUGACAUUGACCUUCGAGUUGGACUCACUUUUAAAAUAUUUUAACCUUGGACAGAACUUUUAAAAAGUACUAAGGCUUUCAUUUCAACAGUGAAAAAACCUUUCUCUCGAUACCAACAUUUUUUACCUUGACCUUUGACUUGCAAAUAAGAAACUACAACACACAUAGUAAGCUGUCAUUUCCGGGCAUCAGUAUUUCACAAACACAUUUUUAAUUCAACAAGCAAAUUCAAAGAAUUGUGGUCCCCCGUUUUCAGUUUCUUUUGGGUGAGAUGUCAUAUUUUAUGACAUUUUGCGUAUAAUAUGAAUGCCUUAUCAUAAGUUAUCUAUUUAGGAAUUAUCACUGAACUUCAAGGCUAAUGUAAAAUGGUUAACAUUCUUGUAUACAAUGAAAAGUUUUCUCAAAAGGAUUACAUACAUGAAGUAUGAAAGCCUAGCCCUUACCAUUCAAAAGUUUUCUCAUAAGUACUAAAAAUCUCAAAGGUUGAAAGGUCAAGGUUGUUGGUUUCAAAGGAAAGGUCUUUCCACAAAAAAUACAUUUGUGAAGUAUGAAAGUUCUGGUAUCUACUGUUCAAAAGUUGUGGCCAAGGUAAAAGUUUUUGAAAAGUAGGUCAAAUUCCAAGGUCAAGGUCCAGAAGGCAAGUUCUUGGCAUACAAUGAAAAGUCUUCUCACAAGAAUUAUAAAUUUGAAGUAUGAAAGCCAUUACCAUUCUAAACUUUUGGUUAAGGUUAAAGUUUUCUUAUAAGUACAGAAACAUCCUAGGUCAAGGUCAGAAGGUCAAAGUUGUUGGUAUCCAAUAAAAGGUCUUCCUACAAAAAAUACAUAUGUGAAAUAUGAAAGUCCUAGUACCUUCCAUUCAAAAGUUAUGGCCACAGUCAAAGUUUGGAAUUUUUGUGUAAAAUUGGGUCAAACUCCAAGGUCAAGGUCAACAGAUCGAAUUUGAUGGUACCCAAAGAUAGUUCUUGUCUUAAGGAAUACACAUAUGAAAUAUGAAAGUCAUGGCUCCACUAAAUCAAAAGUUACGGGCAAGGUUAAAGUUUUAUGUGACGGAUGGACAUCUAGAUAGACGGACAGACAAAUGAGAUUUAAUAUCCCCUCGCUUUCCGGAAAACAGGGGACAAUUAUUAAUAGCUUUAAGCCGUUCAAGCAGUAGAAUACAGUAGAAUUCAGAGGCUAUAUUUUGUCAAUACCCCAAGAAUCGGAUACUAUGAUUAUGAAAGUAAAUUUCUGUUUUUCAUUUAUAUUCAUCAUUUGAUAGUCGAUGCGAUACCUUGAUUUUAAUGUCCUGUUCACAGGAUGAGUUUAAUUUGCAGUAAAUUAAUGCAAAGUAAACAAAUGCCAAUCAAACUAAAAAGAAUUAAAUUGCAUUCACACAACAGCUAAUGGGAAGUAAGGCUAUUAUGACGUCAUUUGCAAAUUGCGUCACCUAAUGCAGGAGCAGCUGCAAUUGACAUAAUAUUACAGUGUCUGUAUACACAUUUUAGUAAUUAAAACAAUUUUCCUUAGUUUUUACUUGAAAAUAGCACAAAUACUUCAAUUUGACUACAGACAUGUGGUAUUUGACUAAUUUUGUCAUUACGCAUGCCUCAAAAUUUAAUUGGAAUCAGCUUCGCAUAGCGUUCACAUGGAGCUAAUGCGAAGUAAUUAAUGUGCUGUAAACUAAUUAGAAUUAAACUAAUUUGUAUUAAAUUCUCCAUGUGAACGCUAAGCAAAGCUAAUUCCCAGUAACUUAUGUCUAAUUCGAAUUAAAUUCUCCGUGUGAACAGGGCAUAAAUAUCAAUAGUCACUAAUUUGGUUUUCAUGUAUAAAAUAUUUAUAUGAUAGUAGCUAAAUUACCUGGCCAAGUUUGUAUUUUUGUUUUACAUAAAGAUGCAGUGUUGAUGUUUUGACAUAUUUUUGUAAAAAUUGUUAUGCUUUUUCAUAGAUUGAUUUUUAUAAUACUGUAGUAACUUAAUUGAGUCCCUGAAUGUCAGUAGUCACUUAUUUGGUUUUAAUUUAUAAAAUAUUGUAUUUUUUAUAAUUAUAGUAUUGUAACUAAAACCAAGACAUGAUUUUCUUUUACUUUGUACAUAUACAAUGUCGAUGCUUUGAUAUAUCUGUAAAAUUUGUUAUCCUUUUUCAUAGAUUUAUUUUGUUCGCAUAACACUUAAGUACAUGUAACUGAAUUGAGUAACUAUUUUUCAUUUUUGUGAAUUUGAAUAGAUAGUUUUAUUAAUAUAAUAUCUGAGAAUAC